CAACCCAGGCCCAACCAGUGAAGAAAGCAGAGCCCAGAGGACUGCGGGUACCAGAUCAUUAGGGGGCGUAAAGGAAGCAACAAAGCAAAAUUUCCAGAAGCUGGAGGCAGUCCUGUUUCAAGCACUCAGCCUUCAGGCCUGAGAAGGGCCACCUGCAGCACUUAUGCUUCCUGGGUGGAGGGCACCAGCUGCCAUGGUGACAGGUGUACUCCCUCCGAUGGCCACUUCAGAAGUUCCUCAGCACAGUACUAGAGGACAGUUCCUUAGGAUAGCACUAGAAUAUUCACCUGUCCUCAGAGAAAAUGCCAGUACAGAAGUGCCUUCCCUUUCUCGGGAGAAACUAUCCUAAUUCCUCUGUGGCGGGGCGGGGUGGGGGGAGUGCGAGGAUGUAGACAUUGAUUGGCACCCCUCUGAGGAACCGAAAUAAAAAAAAAAAAUUAACUGGACACCGAUGACCAGUUAAUCACGAAGUGGAAGAGGGAAAAUCCUUUUGAAGACUAAGGAAGACCUAAAAGGGGGUGGGAGCUGAGAGGACACCCGGAGUGCCUAAUGUCCCACUCAGCUUCUGCCGAGCUGGACAAGUCCGUGGGUACAGAGCAAGUCAUACCCAGACCUACGCAG